CAGGCUUAACACAUGCAAGUCGAGGGGCAGCAUGGUCUUAUCUUGCUAUUACUGAUGGCGACCGGCGCAGGGGUGAGUAACACGUAUCCAACCUGCCGUCUACUCUUGGACAGCCUUCUGAAAGGAAGAUUAAUACAAGAUGGCAUCAUGAGUCCGCAUGUUCACAUGAUUAAAGGUAUUCCGGUAGACGAUGGGGAUGCCUUCCAUUAGAUAGUAGGCGGGGUAACGGCCCACCUAGUCUUCGAUGGAUAGGGGUUCUGAGAGGAAGGUCCCCCACAUUGGAACUGAGACACGGUCCAAACUCCUACGGGAGGCAGCAGUGAGGAAUAUUGGUCAAUGGGCGAGAGCUUGAACCAGCCAAGUAGCGUGAAGGAUGACUGCCCUAUGGGUUGUAAACUUCUUUUAUAAAGGAAUAAAGUCGGGUAUGCAUACCCGUUUGCAUGUACUUUAUGAAUAAGGAUCGGCUAACUCCGUGCCAGCAGCCGCGGUAAUACGGAGGAUCCGAGCGUUAUCCAGAUUUAUUGGGUUUAAAGGGAGCGUAGAUGGAUGUUUAAGUCAGUUGUGAAAGUUUGCGGCUCAACCGUAAAAUUGCAGUUGAUACUGGAUAUCUUGAGUGCAGUUGAGGCAGGCGGAAUUCGUGGUGUAGCGGUGAAAUGCUUAGAUAUCACGAAGAACUCCGAUUGCGAAGGCAGCCUGCUAAGCUGCAACUGACAUUGAGGCUCGUAAGUGUGGGUAUCAAACAGGAUUAGAUACCCUGGUAGUCCACACGGUAAACGAUGAAUACUCGCUGUUUGCGAUAUACGGCAAGCGGCCAAGCGAAAGCGUUAAGUAUUCCACCUGGGGAGUACGCCGGCAACGGUGAAACUCAAAGGAAUUGACGG
rnacentral:rRNA from 1 species